rnacentral:rRNA from 1 species
UCGUGGGGCAGCAUGACUGUAGCAAUACAGUUGAUGGCGACCGGCUAACGGGUGCGGAACACGUACACAACCUUCCUUCGAGUGGGGAAUAGCCCGGGGAAACCCGGAUUAAUACCCCGUAACAUAAUGGAGUGGCAUCACUUUAUUAUUAUAGCUCCGGCGCUUGAAGAUGGGUGUGCGACUGAUUAGGCAGUUGGCGGGGUAACGGCCCACCAAACCUACGAUCAGUAACUGGUGUGAGAGCACGACCAGUCACACGGGCACUGAGACACGGGCCCGACUCCUACGGGAGGCAGCAGUAAGGAAUAUUGGUCAAUGGACGCAAGUCUGAACCAGCCAUGCCGCGUGGAGGAUGAAGGCCCUCUGGGUUGUAAACUUCUUUUAUCUGGGACGAAAAAGGGACUUUCUAGUUCAACUGACGGUACCAGAGGAAUAAGCACCGGCUAACUCCGUGCCAGCAGCCGCGGUAAUACGGGGGGUGCAAGCGUUAUCCGGAUUCACUGGGUUUAAAGGGUGCGUAGGUGGGUUGGUAAGUCAGUGGUGAAAUCUCCAGGCUUAACUUGGAAACUGCCAUUGAUACUAUUAAUCUUGAAUACCGUGGAGGUCAGCGGAAUAUGUCAUGUAGCGGUGAAAUGCUUAGAUAUGACAUAGAACACCAAUUGCGAAGGCAGCUGGCUACACGAAUAUUGACACUGAUGCACGAAAGCGUGGGGAUCAAACAGGAUUAGAUACCCUGGUAGUCCACGCCCUAAACGAUGGAUACUCGACAUACGCGAUAUACUGUGUGUGUCUGAGCGAAAGCAUUAAGUAU